CCAGUGACUACAAGUUCAACGGCCGCGGUAUUUUGACCGUGCAAAGGUAGCGCAAUCACUUGUCUUUUAAAUAGAGACCUGUAUGAAUGGCUAAACGAGGGCUUAACUGUCUCCCCUUUCCAGUCAGUGAAAUUGAUCUACCCGUGCAGAAGCGGGUAUAAUAAUACAAGACGAGAAGACCCUUUGGAGCUUAAGGUACAAAACUCAACCACGUUA
rnacentral:rRNA from 1 species